rnacentral:rRNA from 1 species
UACGUAGGGGGCAAGCGUUGUCCGGAUUUACUGGGCGUAAAGAGCGUGUAGGCGGCCAGAUAGGUCCGUUGUGAAAACUCGAGGCUCAACCUCGAGACGCCGAUGGAAACCAUUUGGCUAGAGUCCGGAAGAGGAGAGUGGAAUUCCUGGUGUAGCGGUGAAAUGCGCAGAUAUCAGGAAGAACACCCGUGGCUAAGGCGGCUCUCUAGUACGGUACUGACGCUGAGGAGCGAAAGCGUGGGGAGCGAACAGG